UUUCAUCAGUAAAACUUCUGAAUAACUCCUUUGUGAAGGCUGGCUAUAUUUUCAAUGUUGGACCCCAAGCUAGAGUUUCAGGAAAAGGCACCCAGGAAAUGAUCAUUGCACCAAGUAAAAUAUGGUCUCAGACCUACAGGGCUGCCCAGGAAGUAGACAGGAGUGGAAGUGAAGAGAGCUGGUACUAUGGUGAGGAGUACACUGGAAAUAAUGGAGAUGAAGAGCUAAGGUUCUGCCAGCCUUCACGCUGUCCAAUUGAGCUGUCACUUGGAAACUGCUGAAGUCAGCCACACUUCCUUGCACAGAUCUUAAAAUAAUUCUUCACUCAAAAGUCAUAGUAUCUCAGCACAGAACAAAAACAUGAGAGAGUUCUGGCCUGGAGCAACUGUUUGUUUUUUCAGGAAGAAAAUCAACUCCUUUUUAAUGAACACAAAGCUCUUGAUAGGUUUGGGGUUUUGUUCAGCUGCUUUCUGAAUCUCUCAAAGCUCAUCUAAUGAAAUACGAGCAAGAUCUGAUCCUUCCUCUGCCGGGCGUGGAUGCUUCUUUGAGGUUGCUGUUCACCAACUCUGAGCAGAGAACACAGACCAACUCAGAACACAGACCGCCGGGAUGCUGGGACUUCCUAACCAGCACACUUCAACUCUCUGUCUCAGUUGCUUUGUGUCCUAGUUGUGAAAUCUUUUUAAUCAGAGCCUUCUCUAUGUUCUGAAAGCCACACACAGUUCUCAAGGAACAGUCCUCCAACUCUAAGCACAUACAGAGAGAGUGAAACUAAUCCAGGAAUCUGAAAUCCAGAACACUCCUAAAUUGAAAACACUUCACAUGCUGAUGUGACAGGACAAGUGGAGAAUUCCUUGUUUGACCUCGUGUGAUGGGGCACAGUGAAAAUGCAGACACACACAAAAGGCAUGUGAAGGGGCUGGGGAGACGGCUCAGUGGAAUAAGCUCUU